GUGCCAGCAGCCGCGGUAAUACGGAGGGUGCAAGCGUUAUCCGGAUUUACUGUGUUUAAAGGGAGCGCAGGCGGAUUAGUAAGUCAGUGGUGAAAGCCUUGAGCUUAACUCGAGAACUGCCAUUGAUACUAUUAGUCUUGAAUGUUGUUGAGGUUUGCGGAAUGGGUCAUGUAGCGGUGAAAUGCAUAGAUAUGACCCGGAACACCUAUUGCGAAGGCAGCAGGCUAAACAAAUAUUGACGCUGAGGCUCGAAAGCGUGGGGAUCAAACAGGAUUAGAUACCCUAGUAGUCC
rnacentral:rRNA from 1 species